ACAAGUGAUCGUACAUGAUGGACAGAUGAAGAGAUUGAAAACAAUGGCAUACCAAAGUAAGUCCCAUAAACUAAAUGUAGUAGAGUGAUUUAAUGUAGUUUUUAAUAAAAUAUAUAAAACAUUGAUGCUGUGUUGUUUUGUUAUAUAUAUAUAUAUAUAUACAUGUAUAUGUAUGCAUGUAUAGAAGACCAGUAUGCAGUAUUUUACCUGUAAUAUGCCCAACAUGUACUUUAAUUUGAAUUUUCGAAUGCAGUGGAACCACGAGAAAUCUUCGAGUUAUCCGAGUUAUCCGGACAGAAAGACAAAAGUGGGUAUAUUUUAAGACACUGACCAUGAAGUAUAUUUAUCCUUCAGUGCUUAGCAAACAUGGUAGAAUUGACGUUUUAUCCGAUUUAAUAGACAGCACUGACCGGCGACUGUUUCAUUUCUAAACGUAGAUAAGUUCCGCUUGAGCGAGCGGGUAGAUGAAUUGUUGACUAUCGUGUGUACUGUUAUCGGCGACCGCCUUAAAUCUCUAUAAAAACCGCCCAAGGGGGAGGCAGACAAAUCGUCACUAUAGAACGGUUGCUUAAGUUAUAGUAAUUGAAUGACUAGACGAGUGUAUUGCGAGAUAUUUCGGUGGGCGGGAACGAGUAACGCCCACCGAAAUAUCGAGUGUACACGAGUCUAGGACAUUCAAUAAAAUGGCUUGUAUCAUUGCCCGUCCAUCGGCUGUCAUUAAACUUCUAAAAACCAAUCAGAAUUGUCUCGGGUUUCUGAUUGAAUUCCCGCCAAAAACAAUCAACGAUCAAUUAGGAGUACAUUUCCCGCCAAAAACGUUAUCAGUUACAUGUAGUUCAAUGCGCACCCGACUUUGUAAGCGGUAAGCAGCAGGAUGUCAACCCCUUCAGCUAGCUUAAUGGUCAGUUUAAAGUACAGGGAUUUCCUUUCAUUACAAGGGGAUGAUUUUGACGACAUUGUGUUAUCUUAAGCAUUCAAGGAUAUAGAAAACGAAGUGAAAGUUUUUGAUGGGAUUUCCGACAUGUCGCUGACACCUAACGGGAAGGGGAUGCAAAACAUAUUUAGGAAUACACCACAUUACCAGCAAGAACAGACAUUAUUACAACCAAGAAGGUGACCGAUGUAUUCCGGAGUACUUCGAUAUGUACAAUGAUGUUUAUACAGGAGACUUCUCGGAGGAACCCCCAUUUGUUAUGGAAGACAGGUCGUCGGUGUAAACAAACCAAAACAACAUGUGAAAGUGAAAGGAAAUUACACACAAUUUACACUAUUGUACAAAUGCGGCGAACUGGACAACUGUUACACGUUAUGUUACAUUUGUAAACAGGGAAUCGUAUACAUAAUAUUUGUAACCAAACAUGUUUUUUUCAAGUUUUAAUAACACCUAUGUACUACAGACCCUAUUCGGCAUUGAUACAAAAACAUCCAGAUCGCUGUAAACACUUGCGCUUGACCAGAAAAAAAUCAAACGUUACAAUGUUUAUUUUACUCACCUGUAUGUAAUUGGGUCUUAAAACGACCAACAGCCACAUAAUUAUUUUAAUACAAUGAUUAAUAAAACAAAACUGUACGGUUAUUACAAUGUUCAAGCCCAGAUAGGCCUAGAUAAUCUGAUCACUUGUGUAUUAAUCCGUCACAGCGCCACCUAGGAAGGGCGAUCACACGUAACGGUAAAACCAAAAUCCGGCACGAACAAUGAAGGACUGGAUGUUUAUUUUACCUUCCGGUCAGUGCAAAGUUUUCUAAGAGAUUAAUAGCCAUUCUUCUCACCUGUGGAUACACUGGUCAGUAAACAAAAGAUCGAUAAUUACGUAUACACACGCAAAUGGCCAGUUUGACACGAAUUACCGUAAGCUGUUCACGGCUCGGUGCACCAGGUAAAUUUUUAGACACGACCAACUGGUCAUAAUUGUGGGGGUAAUUAACGUGAAUUAGUGGUCGUUGAGACUGGACAAGGUGGUCGUAAUAGUGAAGCGACCAAUACAAUGAUAUAGAGAGAAAAAAUCGGGACUGAAAAAAAAGUGCCCGUAAUAGCGGGGUGGUCGUAAGGUGAGGUUUCACUGUAUAAUAUAUAGAGGACACGGCCUUCAGCUUUAAUUUUCUGUGAUCGGAUUGACAUGAGGACACUGAAGUUUAAUAAUUACAUUAAAUAGAACUAACAUUGACUUUUUGCAUAGACAAAUUGGAAAUGAUUGUAUGCCUUGAAGUUUUUGUUUCAUUAAAGUUGAAAAUUACGGAAAUAAACUAAUGGUUCUGUGA